AAUCACCUGUCGGUCAAAUGGAGAAUGGGACGCCCCAUUCCCUAAAUGAGUAGGAGGGAUUUGUGGACCACCACCAAAUGUGGACAAUGCAGAUACAAUAUACAUGC